AGACAUCUCUAGCUGCAGGGCAAAUUUAAGGACUAAUGCAGCUGUUCCCAUAAUUGGCAUGUCGAUAAAGGCUACCUCUGGUGGGGUUGGAGCUUUAGACAAGCCUGUCUGGAGCAGAUGGUACAGAGCUUCUCUGUGAUAUAAGACACACUAUUAUCUACAGACACCCAGCUGUCUGCAAGUAAACUGAAUGCGUAUGUUCUGAUUAUAAUCGAUGGAGAUAUGGGAUAUAAUGCAGUUGCCAAUCUGCAGGCAUCCACUGCCAUGCCACACUAUCUAAGGAGUCUGUUUUCCAAAACUGUGUUUAUUCAAGAAACAACUGACUGCUGCUGAGAACAAUGAGGUUACACACAGAGUAUGGUAAGAUAAGAAUUCAUCCUAAAGUAUGGUUGUCUCCUCAUUUUCUAUUAUUUUGU
rnacentral:lncRNA from 1 species